rnacentral:rRNA from 1 species
AACGCGAAGAACCUUACCUGGGCUCGAAAUGCUAUGGACAGUCUGUGAAAGCAGAUCUUCUCGCAAGAGACCGUAGUAUAGGUGCUGCAUGGCUGUCGUCAGCUCGUGUCGUGAGAUGUUGGGUUAAGUCCCGCAACGAGCGCAACCCUUGUCCUGUGUUGCCACUCCCGUAAGGGAAGCACUCUCAGGAGACCGCCAGCGAUAAGUUGGAGGAAGGUGGGGAUGAUGUCAAGUCAUCAUGGCCUUUAUGUCCAGGGCUACACACGUGCUACAAUGGACGGUACAAAGCGCUGCAAACCCGCGAGGUCGAGCGAAUCCCAUAAAGCCGGUCUCAGUUCGGAUUGCAGGCUGCAACUCGCCUGCAUGAAGUCGGAAUCGCUAGUAACCGCAGAUCAGCUACGCUGCGGUGAAUACGUUCCCGGGCCUUGUACACACCGAGUAUA